UACGGGGGGGGUAAGCGUUGUUCGGAAUUACUGGGCGUAAAGAGCGCGUAGGCGGCCUGCUAAGUCGAACGUGAAAUCCCUGGGCUCAACCCAGGAACUGCGUCCGAUACUGGUUGGCUUGAAUCCGGGAGAGGGAUGUGGAAUUCCAGGUGUAGCGGUGAAAUGCGUAGAUAUCUGGAGGAACACCGGUGGCGAAGGCGACAUCCUGGACCGGUAUUGACGCUGAGGCGCGAAAGCCAGGGGAGCAAACGGG
rnacentral:rRNA from 1 species